UUCUCUUCACUCCCAUCUUCUUCAUUUUCUUUUCUCCCCAGCAAACCUUCCUUUCUUCCCUCCCUCCCAUAGCUGCACCAUUUCCUUCUUCUUUUCUUCAUGAAACACUAACAUCAUCACCGUUUCUUCUGCUUUUUCUCCAUUAACUAAACAGCACCACGAGCCUCCCUUGCUGCCAAGAAGCAACACCUUCGGGUGCCUUCCUCUGUUUCCUCUGUUUCGAACAGCCAGGGCCACCUUUCCUUCCACCGAGAGCAACCGCCACCACCUUGUGUCUCCAUCAAUGCGAGAACCAGCCUCAUUCUUCUUCUUCAUGAUGACAGCACCCAUACAACCUUGAUCUCUUCACGUUGCAGCACCACAAAUCACCAACAUCAUCAUGUUUUCCUCUCCCUCUUGCAGCCGCUGAUCACACCAUCACCAUCACCAUGGUUUUCUCCUUAUAUGGCCAGCAAAGAAUCACCACCGCUAGCCAUAGCACCACCAACACCAUGCCAUGCUCCAAUUUCUUCUUCACCAAGAUCACCAUGUUUGAGACGUGCAAGCUUGGGACUCGAGGAAAUUGGAACGCUUGAGGAAAGGCGAAGGAGAAAGAAAUAUUGGCUAAGGCCCUAACAGGUGUGUCUCUGAGGAGCUGUUGAUUGCAGCAAGAAGGUGAUUGGACUGAUUGACGAUGAGACUUCCUUGGAGUGAGUGAACCAACCGAAGACUUGUGGAAGUAAUAGUUAGAUGUAAGGCUAGAGCCUUGGGUAGAGAAGCUUACCGUCAUUGGUUGAAGCUCGUAGGGAUGAUUGUAUUACUUACUUUGGUCUGGGUAGGUUUCGAUGCAUUACUCUUCUGCGAAUCUCCAGUGAGGGGAUUGUAGGAAGUAUAUUGGACUUAGGGUGUUAUCACAUUUUGAACUUUGUUGUCGGUUAAGACAUUACUUCACUGUAUAUUUUAUACGUCUUGAACAUCCGUCGUCACUCACGGGUGCUUGCCUUAUCAAGGCCGGAUGUAAGGGUUUGGGUAAGAGUAUACAUAUCAGGUUUUGGAAAUGUUUUGGAAAGAAAGCAAACGAAAAAAAAUAUACCCGCUUUUAUUAAAUCCUUGUUGGAAAAUAAUUCCAUUUUAUUUAAUAGGUUACUAAUUGUGACUCCCGAAAGUCGGGGUGUUACAUAAUUCCUUCUGCUGCUUAUUUUAUCUGUAUCGUUGAGUUUUGUUCGAUGCAUGAAAUAAGACUCUAGGUUGACUAUUAGAGCCCUAAUAAAGAGAAUUGAGACCUAAUCGCUUGCAAGUAAAAUGUGAUGUAAUUGGAACAUAGGUCUAGUGAUGACUAUGGACCAUGAGAAUGAUGGUACCGUUAGAGACAAACGGUUACUUGCACGCGAGGGUGUUUGUGGGUUAUACGGUGUGUCCCCACGUGAUUAGGUUGACUGCGGUGACCCUGUGAUCUUGUGGAUGUACGGUGUUUCCCCCACAUGAUCGAGGGUUGUACGGUGUGUCCCCUCCGAGAAUUGUUCAUCUGCGGAUGAUUGUGAUUAUGGCCAUUGGUGUUGAGGUGGUUGUGUGAAUGGUGAGGUCGUUAGCCUAACUGAACUUAGGUGACUGACUGUGAUUAUGCUUAUUAUACCUUGUUAUUUAUGAGAAUACAUGAACAUGUGAAUGUUUCUAUGAGAACAUGUGAUCUGACCCUGUUAUUUGUUUAUGUGUUUAUUUGGGGGGG